UACGUAGGGGGCAAGCGUUGUCCGGAUUUAUUGGGCGUAAAGAGCGUGUAGGCGGCCAUACAGGUCAGCUGUGAAAACUCGAGGCUCAACCUCGAGACGUCGGUUGAAACCGUAUGGCUAGAGUCCUGGAGAGGAAGGUGGAAUGCUUGGUGUAGAGGUGAAAUUCGUAGAUAUCAAGCGGAACACCGGUGGCGAAGGCGGCCUUCUGGACAGUGACUGACGCUGAGACGCGAAAGCGUGGGGAGCAAACAGG
rnacentral:rRNA from 1 species